rnacentral:rRNA from 1 species
GACGAACGCUGGCGGCGUGCUUAACACAUGCAAGUCGAACGGGAAGGCCCUGCUUUUGUGGGGUGCUCGAGUGGCGAACGGGUGAGUAACACGUGAGUAACCUGCCCUUGACUUUGGGAUAACUUCAGGAAACUGGGGCUAAUACCGGAUAGGAGCUCCUGCUGCAUGGUGGGGGUUGGAAAGUUUCGGCGGUUGGGGAUGGACUCGCGGCUUAGCAGCUUGUUGGUGGGGUAGUGGCUUACCAAGGCUUUGACGGGUAGCCGGCCUGGGAGGGUGACCGGCCACAUUGGGACUGAGAUACGGCCCAGACUCCUACGGGAGGCAGCAGUGGGGAAUAUUGCACAAUGGGCGGAAGCCUGAUGCAGCAACGCCGCGUGCGGGAUGACGGCCUUCGGGUUGUAAACCGCUUUCGCCUGUGACGAAGCGUGAGUGACGGUAAUGGGUAAAGAAGCACCGGCUAACUACGU